UACGUAGGGUGCAAGCGUUGUCCGGAAUUAUUGGGCGUAAGAGCUCGUAGGCGGUUUGUCGCGUCUGCUGUGAAAACCCGAGGCUCAACCUCGGGCCUGCAGUGGGUACGGGCAGACUAGAGUGCGGUAGGGGAGAUUGGAAUUCCUGGUGUAGCGGUGGAAUGCGCAGAUAUCAGGAGGAACACCGGUGGCGAAGGCGGGUCUCUGGGCCGUAACUGACGCUGAGGAGCGAAAGCGUGGGGAGCGAACAGGG
rnacentral:rRNA from 1 species